UGGCUUUCCAUGCCUGAAAUACUCUCAUGGGCUUUUCAGCCAGAUCCACAUGCCUUAAGGGCUGAUUCUGAGGCCAGAGUGCUGUUUAGGACAUCUGCCAUUCUAUAGGUCUGCUGUGUAUCUCGCUUCCUGAUGGUUAUUCUUUAAAUUAACAAAAUAUGUAAGAAUCAAGGUAGAGUCUAUCUCUCCUCCUUUGAAGGCUGCCUCAAUUAGAGAACAUGGCAGACUUGAGGUUGGGUGCUCUGGGAUUAGCUAAGGAAAGUCCACUUGACCUUUCCAAUGGGUUCAUUAUAGGAUGCAUGUUGGGAGCUCUAUGCCAUCAUGUAAGAAGUGGGGUAUACCUGACUCCACGGAGUUUGAGAGACUGAGAGCCAAGGAGAGGCCUUUGAGACUGAGACCAUAUAGAGAUGCCCAGACGGCCUCCCAUUGGGAAGGGGUCUGAGCUCUGGUGAUCAGCUGGGGAGAGAGCUCUCCCACCAGCACCACCCAGGUGAGCCAUGGUUGGUAAUAAAAAUGACUUCUGCUUUACACCCCUACCUUUUGGAAUGAUUUGUUAAACAGCAGUGGAUGAAUGGAUUGCCACCUGGUCCACACUUUUCAUAUUAAUGGGAGUAUAUGACCUAAAACUUUUGUUCUUUCCAAGAAAGACAACAUGUUAACAAAAAACUGAAUGUCAUUUGCAUGCCAGACAUUGUUACAGCUUUCUGUAUGAAAAAAAAUUGUCACUGGAUAUGCUCUAGCUUUAAGUUUGGAAAAAUACAACAACUAUGUGGAUUAGAAGGAACACUGAUACCUAUCUAAAACCUUUGUAUUUAACUAAAACAUCAGUCAAUCAACAAACUACAGAAUGAUGGACUUUGUGCCAGCCCCAACUUUGUGGGGAUACAAAGGACAUCUGGCCUGCAUGUCCUCCAAGUGUUUGUCACCUGGGUGAUGAGACAAGGAAAGCAUUUUUGUAGCAGGACGUUUUGAAUGUAUUUGUAGAGAAAGAAAGAAUUUGAAGAAUAAAUAAUGAAUAUUAGUUAUCAGUGAUUUUGAACUCAUUCAUUGUGUCUCAAAGGAAGACUUUUUGCAUGAUUAUCUUGUUAACAAUGAACCGCAGGAAAUAUAGCUGAAGAAUCCUUAUUUGCUAACUAGGCAAUUUCCCUCCCACAAUUUAUCUACUCCCUUCAGUUCAGGAUUAUUCAUGAGUAUAUAUUUUUCAAGCGUUUUGUCAGUUUUAAUUUGAAACAAUCUUAGCAAUGGGACCAUUGUAAUCCAGCUAAUGUGAGAAAGAAUGGGGUGCUGCUUAAUGUAAUUGUGCUGGCAGCUAAUAGAUUUGAUGUCAAUAGCGCUCAUAGCAUUAACCUGUGUUAGGUCUUGAAAGCAAUUUCCAAUGUUUCACAUGCAAACUGGAUAGAGGGGCAAAGUAUCUGACACAGGUAAUUCAUAGCUGCUGAAGGAAGUAAAGCCCGUCAAUGCAUGCCCCCAAACGAUGGCUGAGUGGUUCCCUGAUUUCUCUAUGUUGAAACCUGUUAUGUGCUGUUUAAUGCAUUUUAAAAUUUUCUGUGCAGGAAGUGGCGUGUUCCAGAGGUGUGUUGAAGUUUGCCUGCACUGCCUAGCAUGGCACAGUGGUUACCGCCUCUCUCCACUUCCAUAUUGAGUGACAUCACCACGCAAGCUUAAAAACAGCUGCAGUGGAGGUAUUAACACCAUGGAAGUGGCAAAUGCUCUCUACCAAUCAUCAGGGGACAAAACUGUGACCUCCUGAUUCCUGCAAGAGAAGAGAGAGGGAGACAAGGUGCAGUUAAGUAGUAAGAGUGUUCAGAUCCACCACACAGGUGGCCCAAGUCUUCUAGACUAUGGCUGUUGUAUAGCUGACAGAUUUGGCUCUGGAGAUCCCAAAGUGAGGAGAAUGCCUACCUUGGGACGUUCUAGUAACAGGACAAGUUUCAGUAGCUUGUUAUGAAGAUAGAAUCGCAGGUGUUAAAUUAAAUACUGAAUGGGGCUGGUAUUUGGUGCCACAAUUAGGACUGUGUAGAAUUGCUGCAUUCCAUACGGGAGUCCCUGGGUUGGAGUCUGGCCUUUGUUUCCUAACCCAGUUUCCUCCUAAUGCUCACCCUGGGAAGCAGCAGGUGAUGGUUCAAGCGCUUGGGUCCUUGCCAAGCAUAGGGAGGCUCAGACUAAGUACCUGCUUUAGCCUGGCCCAGCCCUAGCUGUUGUGGGCAUUUGAGGAGUAAACUAGCGAAUGGAAGAUUUCCGCCUGUCUGUCCCUGUAGCUCUCUCUCCCUGUCUCUGUCUUUCAAAUAAUAAAAAUUGAAAAUAAACAAAAAUUUUAAAAAAUACUGAAGAAUCGAAGGAUAUAGAAAGAACAAUAAUUGUAACUAGGUUCUUGUAUAUUUUUAAAAUAUUCAUUUAUUUAUUUGUAAGGCAGAGCCAGAGAGAAAGAGAAAGAGAGAGAGAGAGAGAGAGAGAGAGAGAGGUCUUUCAGCCACUGAUUCAAUCCCCAAAGGCUGCAACAGCCAGUCUGGGCCAUCUGAGUCUCCCACAAGAGUUGCAGAAGCCCAAGCACUUGGCCCAUCAUCCACUGCCUUCCCAGGAGCAUUAACUGGAAGCUAGAUUGGAAGCAGAGCAGCCAAGACUUGAAGCAGCACUCUGAUAUGGAAUGGUGGCAUAUAAGAGAUGACUUAACCUACAUCCCACUAGCCCAAUUGCUGUAUUUUUAAUAUUCUCCUUUUAUUUAAUAUCUCUUUAAAAUUAGUGUGCAUAUUUGUAAACCAUAUAUACACUAUAUAUCUAAUAUCUAAUAUAUUUAUAUAUAAAAUUUAUAUAUAUUAUAUAUAUAUGCCAUAAUUGACAAAGCAACAUCCAUAGCUCGCAGGUGUUCUGACACUGCCUGGUAGGCAAUAAGUGGCCUUGGGAGUGAAGCCUGCCCCACACAGAGUGAGUGACAUAGCAUGGAGAGAAAGAAUUAAGUUUACAUGCUUAAGAAUAUUUUAAAGAUUCAUUUUAAAAAAUUUUACUUGAAGAAGAGUGACAAAGAGAGAGGGGGAGACAUAAAGAGAAAGAGAUCUUCCAUCCACUUGCUCACUCCUCAAUUGUAUGCAACAGCCAGGGCUGGGCCAGGCUGAAGCCAGGAGCCCAGAACUCCAUCUGUUUCCCAUAUGGGUGCAGGGGCCCAAGCACUUGGGCCAUCUUCUGCGACUUUCCCAGGCACAUCAGCAAAGGGCUGGAUCAGAAGUGGAGCAGCCGGGACUUGAACAGGUACUUACGUGGAUGCAAGCAUUGCAGGCUGUGAUUUAACCCACUGCACCACAAAGUUGGUGCCCUUACAAAAUUUGAUGCCAUGACUUGAGAAAAAGUGUUUUGUGGGAGAAUUAGACUGCCAGACAUGGAAGGACUUGGGAGAGCUGGUAGUACACCAGGCUUUCUGUAGGCAGGGGACAGGGAUCCUGCCCUUAGUAGCAGGUUUCAACCAUCAUGAGAGGUCAGCUCUUCCCAAUGCUCUCAUGCUGAAAAGUUUACACAUUGAUCCCAUUGAAACUGAUUGUAUUUCCAGAUUCCUCCAUUUUGUCGCAAAUGACCGGGUUUCGUUGUUUUUGACUGCUAUAUAGUAUUCUAUAGAGUACAUGUCCCAUAAUUUCUUUAUCCAGUCUACUGUUGAUGGGCAUUUAGGUUGAUUCCAGGUCUUAGCUAUUGUGAAUUGAGCCAAAAUAAACAUUAAGGUGCAGACAGCUUUUUUGUUUGCCAAUUUAAUUUCCUUUGGGUAAAUUCCAAGGAGUGGGAUGGCUGGGUUGUAUGGUAGGGAGUGAAUUAAGCCAGUCCCAAAGGACUGUUCUCCCUGAUCGGUGACAACUAACCAACCAUAAAAAAGGAAACCUGUUGAAGUUAAAGGGAUACUAUGAGAAACAUGACUUGAUCAGCCCUUGUCCUGACUGUUGAUGUACAAUUUAAUACUUUGUCCCUUUUAGUAUUUUUUUGUUCUAGUUAAUACUAUUGGUUGAACUCUGUAAUUAACACAACAUUUAUUCUUAGGUGUUGAAAUUUAACUGAAAAGUGAUCCCUCUUAAAUUUAAGAGUGGGAAUAAGAGAGGGAGGAGAUGUACAAUUUGGGACAUGCUCAAUCGGACUUGCCCCAAAUGGUGGAGUUAGAAAUGUGCCAGGGGAUUCCAAUACAAUCCCAUCAAGGUUGCAUGUACCAAUGUCAUCUCACUAGUCCAAGUGAUCAAUUUCAGUUCACAAUUGAUCACACUGAUAGGUCUAAGAGUCAAAGGGAUCACACAAACAAGACUAGUGUCUGCAAAUACUAACUGAUGGAAUAAAAAAGGGAGAGAAUGAUCCAGCAUGGGAAGUGGGAUACACAGCAGACUCAUAGAAUGGCAGAUGUCCUAAACAGCACUCUGGCCUCAGAAUCAGCCCUUAAGGCAUUCGGAUCUGGCUGAAGAGCCCAGGAGAGUAUUUUAGGAAUGGAAAGCCAAGAUACUCUGGCAAAAAACAAACAAAAAAAAAACAAAACAAAACAAAAACAAAAACAAAAAAACAAAACCUAAAUGAAAGAUCUCUGCGAGAGCCCAGUAGAAAGAACGGGCCAUCAAAGGAGAAGGUACCUUUCUCUGAAGGGAGGAGAGAACUUCCACUUUGACUAUGACCUUGUCUAAAUAAGAUCGAAGUCAGUCAGUGAACUCAAGAGGCUUCCAUAGCCUUGGAAACUCAUGACUAGAGCCUAGGGAGAUUUCUGACUCCGUAAACAAGAGUAUCAAAUUGUUAAGUCAACAACAGGAGUCACUGUGUACUUACUCCUCAUGUAGGAUCUCUGUCCUUAAUAUGUUGCCAAUGUGAAUUAAUGCUAUAACUAGUAUUCAAACAGUAUUUUUCACUUUGCAUUUCUGUGUGGGUGCAAACUGAUGAAAUUUUUACUUAAUAUAUACUAAAUCGAUCUUCUGUAUAUAAAGAUAAUUGAAAAUGAAUCUUGAUGUUAAUGGAAUGGGAGAGGGAGCGGGAGAUGGGAGGGGCACAGGUGGGAGGGAAGUUAUGAGGGGGAGCCAUUGUAAUCCAUAAACUGUACUCUGGAAAAUUAUAUUUACUAAAUAAAAGUUUUUUUAAAAAAGAAA